CGGAAGGCUGGCCAGGAGGAAGGAGGCUUUGGGGAAGGAGUCUCCAGAGGAGCACCAAGACAGGCAGGUGCUGUGUUGUAACAGCUAGAAAACUGUGGGGAGAUGAAACAUUCUGACAAAUUGCCCUCAGCCUGGCCCUCGGUUCCCUUGGAACGGAGGUGAUGGUGAUGGCACCUUGGCACCAUGGACAAGCCCUUGGCUUUAGCCUGAGGCUGCAGGGGACUGACCUUACCCAGAGAGCCACUCCUUGGUGGGUGAGGGAACACGAGUCAGUGACAGCAAGACCUGAAGAUGAGUUUUCAGGGAGUAAAAUGUUUCUGGGAGUCAAAGAGUGCAGGGCUUUGGUGAGACAA